rnacentral:tRNA from 1 species
GCAUCGAUGGUUCAGUGGUAAAAUGCUCGCCUGCCACGCAGGCGGCCCAGGUUCGAAUACCGGUCGAUGCA